UGGCUGCAGGUGCUGUGAUUGGCUUCAGGUGCUCUAAUUGGUCUAUAGCAAACUUUUUUCCCUGUACAGGGAAUAAGGCUUCCUUCUAACCCUCUUCUGCUGCCCUCUGGCCGUGUUGUAGCACAGU